AGUGAACGCUGGCGGUAGGCCUAACAAAUGCAAGUCGAACGGCAGCACAGUAAGAGCUUGCUCUUACGGGUGGCGAGUGGCGGACGGGUGAGGAAUACAUCGGAAUCUACUUUUUCGUGGGGGAUAACGUAGGGAAACUUACGCUAAUACCGCAUACGCCCUACGGGUGAAAGCAGGGGAUCUUCGGACCUUGCGCGAUUGAAUGAGCCGAUGUCGGAUUAGCUAGUUGGCGGGGUAAAGGCCCACCAAGGCGACGAUCCGUAGCUGGUCUGAGAGGAUGAUCAGCAACACUGGAACUGAGACACGGUCCAGACUCCUACGGGAGGCAGCAGUGGGGAAUAUUGGACAAUGGGCGAAAGCCUGAUCCAGCCAUGCCGCGUGGGUGAAGAAGGCCUUCGGGUUGUAAAGCCCUUUUGUUGGGAAAGAAAAGCAGCAGGUUAAUACCCCGCUGUUCUGACGGUACCCAAAGAAUAAGCACCGGCUAACUUCGUG
rnacentral:rRNA from 1 species